rnacentral:rRNA from 1 species
AGUGGCGAACGGGUGAGUAAUACGUGAGUAACCCGCCCUUGACUCUGGGAUAAGCCUGGGAAACCGGGUCUAAUACUGGAUAUGACCUCCUGUCGCAUGGUGGGGGGUGGAAAGGGUUUGUACUGGUUGUGGAUGGGCUCACGGCCUAUCAGCUUGUUGGUGGGGUAAUGGCCUACCAAGGCGACGACGGGUAGCCGGCCUGAGAGGGUGACCGGCCACACUGGGACUGAGACACGGCCCACACUCCUACGGCAGGCAGCAGUGGGGAAUAUUGCACAAUGGGCGCAAGCCUGAUGCAGCGACGCCGCGUGAGGGAUGACGGCCUUCGGGUUGUAAACCUCUUUCAGCACGGAAGAAGCGAAAGUGACGGUACGUGCAGAAGAAGCGCCGGCUAACUACGUGCCAGCAGCCGCGGUAAUACGUAGGGCGCAAGCGUUGUCCGGAAUUAUUGGGCGUAAAGAGCUCGUAGGCGGCUUGUCGCGUCUGCUGUGAAAGCCCGGGGCUUAACCCCGGGUGUGCAGUGGGUACGGGCAGA